AAGGGUUCCCUAAUCUCAUAAUACUGUUCGUCUCUCAAUGGCUCUAACACCAACUCACUCAGGCCCCUUCUGUUCUCUGUCAAUGCUGCCUGAACCUGACCAGGGAAUCUGGCGCUAACAUCAACUCGGACUGGAGAAAAGAAAUAGCCUAUUGCAGCCACUUCAAUUAAAUGAGUCCCUGCUGGCACGUUAUAGAAUGAAAAAUAUCCAUCAGGCCUCAGAAAAGUGAUGCUUUGGCCACCAUUAAGUAUAACUUUGACAUUGGAUAGUUUUCCAGGAAAACCAAAUCCUUUUACACCCACACCUGCAAUCUUCACUCGACCAUUGAUGGUGUAACCAUCGCCAGACCCGGACGAAAUCGUAAGAGCUGGAGUGAGGAGAGAGAGACAUAAUUGUAUGAAAAAAAUUAGGAAAACCGGUUUCGAUCUGAGUAUAGAUGCCAUAACAAUAGAAGUCCAGCACAGGACAGCCAGAGAUUCCACAGGCGAUGAGGUGAUCAGAUACGUAC
rnacentral:misc_RNA from 1 species